rnacentral:rRNA from 1 species
AGAGUUUGAUCAUGGCUCAGGAUGAACGCUAGCGGCGGGCCUAAUACAUGCAAGUCGAACGGUGCAGCAAUGCAUAGUGGCAGACGGGUGCGUAACGCGUAUGCAACCUACCCCAGAUCGGGGGACAACAUUUCGAAAGAGAUGCUAAUACCGCAUAAGAUUGUAGAUCGGCAUUGAUCAGCAAUUAAACUUACGGGGAU